rnacentral:rRNA from 1 species
CGCCUCCGCCGCGUCACCGCCGUCACCGGCCAGUGCCGCGGCCUCGUCGUCCUGGAGGCAGACAGGCCCACCACCAUCAUCCGCGACCUCAAGGUAAACCACUACGUGUGGAACCCCUCCACCGGCCAGAUCACGGCGCUCCCCAAGGGCAACGAGUCCUUGGGGAUUGGCUACGACACGCGCAUCCGCAAGCACAAGGUGCGCGGCGACCUCCCCCCGGCGUGCGAGGUGUAUGUACUCAACUCCACGGGACAAUGGCGGCCACCAGGCUUUGCAACGAAUUUCUCCAGCGACCAGAGCAUAUUUGCGCAGGGCCACCUGCACUGGGUCGCGGAGCCGGACAAGGAGUUCAACUUCGGAAGGAUCAUCAUGUCCUUCUCCAUCAUGCCACCACCGCCCAUUAAAAUGUACCCCUGCCAGAUAGUGGAGCUCAACGGGCAUCUCUGUGUCUUCAACAAUUCCGACGAGUUCAAGCGCUCAUAUGAUAUCUGGGUGCUGCGUGACCACCAGGCGGGCGCUUGGGAUCUCCAUUGCUGCAUUGACCUGGACACGCCACCGCUGUCAGACACUCAGUUGAUGCGAUCCUGUUCUAUCAUCCCAAUUGGCAGUGUUGAUGAUGGCAGCCGCCUGCUGCUGAGACCGGAUCCUCAUUGGAACAACACAAACAAUUGGAAAUCCCACCAGAUUUUCAUGUACAGACCUGCGGACGGAGAUGUUGAGGACCUUCUCACAGGCGGCGGCAUAAUUACUCACCACACCGUGGCCCGAAGAGUUGUGGCACCAUAUGAGGAAAGCCUUGAGUCCACCGGACCGUGA